UCCGGGGGGAGCAAGCGUUGUUCGGAUUUACUGGGCGUAAAGGGCGGGUAGGCGGCCAGCACAAGUCAGUUGUGAAAUCUCCGAGCUUAACUUGGAAAGGUCAACUGAUACUGUGCGGCUAGAGUGCAGAAGGGGCAACUGGAAUUCUUGGUGUAGCGGUGAAAUGCGUAGAUAUCAAGAGGAACACCUGCGGCGAAGGCGGGUUGCUGGGCUGACACUGACGCUGAACUGCGAAAGCUAGGGGAGCGAACGGG
rnacentral:rRNA from 1 species